GGCGACCGGCGCACGGGUGAGUAACACGUAUCCAACCUACCCUUUACUCGGGGAUAGCCUUUCGAAAGAAAGAUUAAUACCCGAUAGCAUAAUGAUUCCGCAUGGUUUCAUUAUUAAAGGAUUCCGGUAAAGGAUGGGGAUGCGUUCCAUUAGGUUGUUGGUGAGGUAACGGCUCACCAAGCCUCGAUGGAUAGGGGUUCUGAGAGGAAGGUCCCCCACAUUGGAACUGAGACACGGUCCAAACUCCUACGGGAGCAGCAUG
rnacentral:rRNA from 1 species